rnacentral:rRNA from 1 species
CACGUAGGGUGCGAGCGUUGUCCGGAAUUAUUGGGCGUCAAGAGCUCGUAGGCGGUGUGUCGCGUCGGCCGUGAAAACCUGCAGCUUAACUGUGGGCUUGCGGUCGAUACGGGCAUCACUGGAGUUCGGCAGGGGAGACUGGAAUUCCUGGUGUAGCGGUGAAAUGCGCAGAUAUCAGGAGGAACACCGGUGGCGAAGGCGGGUCUCUGGGCCGAUACUGACGCUGAGGAGCGAAAGCGUGGGGAGCGAACAGG